rnacentral:rRNA from 1 species
GAUGAACGCUGGCGGCGUGCCUAAUACAUGCAAGUAGAACGCUGAAGGAGGAGCUUGCUCUUCUGGAUGAGUUGCGAACGGGUGAGUAACGCGUAGGUAACCUGCCUGGUAGCGGGGGAUAACUAUUGGAAACGAUAGCUAAUACCGCAUGACAACAGUUAUUGCAUGAUAACUGUUUAAAAGGGGCAACUGCUCCACUACCAGAUGGACCUGCGUUGUAUUAGCUAGUUGGUGAGGUAACGGCUCACCAAGGCGACGAUACAUAGCCGACCUGAGAGGGUGAUCGGCUACACUGGGACUGAGACACGGCCCAGACUCCUACGGGAGGCAGCAGUAGGGAAUCUUCGGCAAUGGACGGAAGUCUGACCGAGCAACGCCGCGUGAGUGAAGAAGGGUUUCGGAUCGUAAAGCUCUGUUGUAAGAGAAGAACGAGUGUGAGAGUGGAAAGUUCACACUGUGACGGUAUCUUACCAGAAAGGGACGGCUAACUACGUG